rnacentral:lncRNA from 1 species
GUUUUAUAGUUUUCAAAUGAUAUUGUUAAUUUGAACGCGGAGGUAAAAUAUUUUUAAAAUGGAAAAAUUUUAAAUACCACUUCUAUGAUUUCACACUUUCUCACUUUAUUAUCCUGUAAUUUAAAGUGUAUCAAUUUAGUGUCCUGUAGUUUCAUUUUUAUCUUUUUAUUAUCGAUUUCACUAUUUUUUUUCAUUAAAUUAGUGAUAAAAUUAAAAUUAAAAGAUACUAAAGUGAAUAUUCGAUAAAUCUAGAUAGGAUAUCUGAAGUUUUUUAUAUAUAUAAUUUAAUAAAAUAUUAAUAGAGGAACUGACGAAAAGAUAAAAAUGAAACCAUAUGACACUAAUUUGAUACACUUUAAAUCAUAUAAUACUAAAGUGAAAAAAUAUAAAACUAAAUGGGUGGUAUCUAAAGUUUAUCCUUUUAAAA